UCGAGAAUUUUUCACAAUGGGCGCAAGCCUGAUGGAGCGACGCCGCGUGGGGGAUGAAGGGUUUCGAUCCGUAAACCCCUGUCAUUUGCGAACAAACCUCAUUUAAUAACACUGGAUGAGUUGAUUGUAGUAAAAGAGGAAGGGACGGCUAACUCUGUGCCAGCAGCCGCGGUAAUACAGAGGUCCCAAGCGUUGUUCGGAUUCACUGGGCGUAAAGGGUGCGUAGGUGGCCGGGAAAGUUUGAUGUGAAAGCUCGGAGCUUAACUCCGAAAUGGCAUUGAAUACUAUUCGGCUGGAGGGUCGGAAGGGAGACUGGAAUUCUCGGUGUAGCAGUGAAAUGCGUAGAUAUCGAGAGGAACACCAGUGGCGAAGGCGAGUCUCUGGACGACACCUGACACUGAGGCACGAAAGCUAGGGGAGCAAACAGG
rnacentral:rRNA from 1 species